AUACGUAGAGGUUGCGUCAAUCAAGAGUAACCUGCCGGAUGCGUCGGAUGCAGAAGAAGGCAGGGAAAGGGAAAGACGCCGAAGGAGGGACGGAUUCCGAGCCGUUUAUCCUGGGCGCAGGAUUAAGAGUCCUGUGACUGUCAUCCAUAACGGGUGGGGAGCUACA
rnacentral:ncRNA from 1 species